UACGGGGGGUGCGAGCGUUGUCCGGAUUCACUGGGCGUAAAGGGCGCGUAGGCGGCUGACUCAGUCUGGUCUAUAAGGUGUGGGCUUACCCCGCACACGGAUUGGGGACGGGUUGGCUGGGGGUCGGUCGAGGGAAGCGGAAUGCCGGGUGUAGUGGUGAAAUGCGUAGAGAUCCGGCGGAACACCGGUGGUGAAGGCGGCUUCCUUGGCCGAACCCGACGCUGAGGCGCGAGAGCGCGGGGAGCGAACCGG
rnacentral:rRNA from 1 species